GUUAGGAAUAUUGGACAAUGGACGCAAGUCUGAUCCAGCCAUGCCGCGUGAGUGAUGAAGGCCUUCGGGUUGUAAAGCUCUUUAGCCGAUGAUUAUAAUGACUGUAGUCGGAAAAUAAGCCCCGGCUAACUUCGUGCCAGCAGCCGCGGUAAUACGAAGGGGGCGAGCGUUAUUCGGAAUCACUGGGCGUAAAGCGUGCGUAGGCGGGUUUGUAAGUUGGGAGUGAAAGCCCAGGGCUCAACCCUGGAAUUGCUCUCAAAACUACAAGACUUGAAUUCGAGAGAGGAUAGCGGAAUUGUCAGUGAAGCAGUGAAAUGCGUAGAUAUUGAAAGGAACACCAGUGGCGUAAGCGGCUAUCUGGACCGACAUUGACGCUGAGGCACGAAAGCGUGGGGAUCAAACAGGAUUAGAUACCCCAGUAGUCC
rnacentral:rRNA from 1 species